rnacentral:rRNA from 1 species
GACGAACGCUGGCGGCGUGCUUAACACAUGCAAGUCGAACGGAAAGGCCCUGCUUUUGUGGGGUGCUCGAGUGGCGAACGGGUGAGUAAAACGUGAGUAACCUGCCCUUGACUUUGGGAUAACUUCAGGAAACUGGGGCUAAUACCGGAUAGGAGCUCCUGCUGCAUGGUGGGGGUUGGAAAGUUUCGGCGGUUGGGGAUGGACUCGCGGCUUAUCAGCUUGUUGGUGGGGUAGUGGCUUACCAAGUCUUUGACGGGUAGCCUGCCUGAGAGGGUGACCGGCUACAUUUGGACUGAGAUACUGCCCAGACUCCUACGGGAGGCAGCAGUGGGGAAUAUUGCACAAUGGGCGGAAGCCUGAUGCAGCAACGCCGCGUGCGGGAUGACGGCCUUCGGGUUGUAACCCGCUUUCGCCUGUGACGAAGCGUGAGUGACGGUAAUGGGUAAAGAAGCACCGGCUAACUACGUG